rnacentral:rRNA from 1 species
UACGGGGGGGGCAAGCGUUGUUCGGAAUUACUGGGCGUAAAGGGCUCGUAGGUGGCCAACUCAGUCGGACGUGAAAUCCCUCGGCUUAACCUGGGAACUGCGUCGGAUACUGGAUGGCUUGAAUUCGGGAGAGGGAUGCAGAAUUCCAGGUGUAGCGGUGAAUGCGUAGAUAUCUGGAGGAACAUCAGUGGCGAAAGCGACUUCCUGGACCAAUACUGACGCUCAGGUGCGGAAGCGUGGGGAGCAAACAGG